GACGAACGCUGGCGGCGUGCUCAACACAUGCAAGUCGAGCGGUAAGGCCCUUUCGGGGGUACACGAGCGGCGAACGGGUGAGUAACACGUGGGUGACCUGCCCUCAGCUCUGGGAUAAGCCUGGGAAACCGGGUCUAAUACUGGAUAUGACUCCAUGACGCAUGUUGUGGGGUGGAAAGCCUUGUGCGGCUGAGGAUGGGCCCGCGGCCUAUCAGCUUGUUGGUGGGGNGAUGGCCUACCAAGGCGACGACGGGUAGCCGGCCUGAGAGGGCGACCGGCCACACUGGGACUGAGACGACGGCCCAGACUCCUACGGGAGGCAGCAGUGGGGAAUCUUGCGCAAUGGGCGAAAGCCUGACGCAGCGACGCCGCGUGAGGGAUGACGGCCUCGG
rnacentral:rRNA from 1 species